UAUAGAUGGUUAAUAGAAGAUAUGUUUCCUGUGUCACAAUAAAUAACACUUUUUCUCCUCCAUAUUUAGGCUUCAGCUUAUAAUGUUUCUUGAUUGAAUCAUUUGCUGGACUUCAUGUGACUUCAUAGAUAAAACUAGUCUUGCUGAGAGGUUAAGAGAUACUGCAGCCCCAAAAGAGCUCCCUCAUCAGAAGAUGUGGAGAGAUAUUGUAGGAGAGACCGGACUGUUUUAACUGUUCUAACCUUAGCUCCCUCAGCAGAAUGGUUUGAAAGAGGCUUGUUGAACUUUCUGCAACCACGAGCCCCACAGCUAGUUCUCCUAGUCCAAGAAGAAGGUUUUCUUGCCCCUGCGCAUGCACGGAAUUCAGCACAGCUGGUAGGAUUAAAUGCUCGCUCUUCUUUUUUUGCAACACCAACAGUCUUGCCAUCUAUAAGUGAGUUUUUUUGACUUUAUAAUAUUCAGUAUUAUAAUUGUCUCUGGGAGCUGAAAGAUGCGUGAAAUGUUAACCUUUAUAAAUGAGUGAUUCCCCAAUCACUGUGCCAUGAAACAGUUGCUUAAACUAACUGGAGAAAGAGUGGAAUAGAUACCAGCUCAGGAGUUCAGGUGACAUUAAAAAUGAAAGAGAGUAUAUGAGUGAAUAACAGAUCAUACCGUUAUGCUGCAAAUGUAUUCCCGUGUUCUUUUGAACCAAUACUUUAGCCUUGUACUCACAGACAGAAGUCCCUCGAAACGGCGUUAAAGAGGAGUGCUAAAAAUUUGACAAAAUUUGAUUCUGUUCCAGGCUCAUUUUAUACAUAUGCUGAGUUUGAUGAGAAUUUGCCUGAGUAAUUAGUACAGGAUCUAGUUUGAGGAUGACUAGCUUAGACGUCCUGGAACAGUAAAAGCCUGUUAGUCCGCCUUGAAAAUGAGUUGUCUUCGGAAACAGAUAAGGCCAGUGAAAAGGCCAAGAGAUGGUAGGUCUGCAGAGCAAGAAACAGGCUCGCAGUGUUAAUGGAGAAUGGGAAUAGUCUGUUUUGACUUGCAUUUGCAAUGUAGCCCCU
rnacentral:lncRNA from 1 species